rnacentral:rRNA from 1 species
UACGUAGGGGGCGAGCGUUGUCCGGAAUCAUUGGGCGUAAAGCGCGUGUAGGCGGCCCGGUAAGUCCGCUGUGAAAGUCCAGGGCUCAACCCUGGGAUGCCGGUGGAUACUGUCGGGCUCGAGUCCGGAAGAGGCGAGUGGAAUUCCUGGUGUAGCGGUGAAAUGCGCAGAUAUCAGGAGGAACACCAAUGGCGAAGGCAGCUCGCUGGGACGUUACUGACGCUGGAGACGCGAAAGCGUGGGGAGCAAACAGG